CCCGUGGCGGCAGCUACACAUGCAGUCGAACGGUAGCACAGAGGAGCUUGCUCCUCGGGUGACGAGUGGCGGACGGGUGAGUAAUGUCUGGGAAACUGCCCGAUGGAGGGGGAUAACUACUGGAAACGGUAGCUAAUACCGCAUAACGUCGCAAGACCAAAGUGGGGGACCUUCGGGCCUCACACCAUCGGAUGUGCCCAGAUGGGAUUAGCUAGUAGGUGGGGUAACGGCUCACCUAGGCGACGAUCCCUAGCUGGUCUGAGAGGAUGACCAGCCACACUGGAACUGAGACACGGUCCAGACUCCUACGGGAGGCAGCAGUGGGGAAUAUUGCACAAUGGGCGCAAGCCUGAUGCAGCCAUGCCGCGUGUAUGAAGAAGGCCUUCGGGUUGUAAAGUACUUUCAGCGGGGAGGAAGGCGACGCGGUUAAUAACCGCGUCGAUUGACGUUACCCGCAGAAGAAGCACCGGCUAACUCCGUGCCAGCAGCCCGGGGGUAAUUCA
rnacentral:rRNA from 1 species